rnacentral:rRNA from 1 species
GUGGGGAAUAUUGGACAAUGGGCGAAAGCCUGAUCCAGCCAUGCCGCGUGUGUGAAGAAGGUCUUCGGAUUGUAAAGCACUUUAAGUUGGGAGGAAGGGCAGUAAGUUAAUACCUUGCUGUUUUGACGUUACCAACAGAAUAAGCACCGGCUAACUUCGUGCCAGCAGCCGCGGUAAUACGAAGGGUGCAAGCGUUAAUCGGAAUUACUGGGCGUAAAGCGCGCGUAGGUGGUUUUGUAAGUUGGAGGUGAAAUCACCGGGCUCAACCUGGGAACUGCCUCCAAAACUGCAUGACUAGAGUCCGGUAGAGGGUAGUGGAAUUUCCUGUGUAGCGGUGAAAUGCGUAGAUAUAGGAAGGAACACCAGUGGCGAAGGCGACUACCUGGACUGAUACUGACACUGAGGUGCGAAAGCGUGGGGAGCAAACAGGAUUAGAUACCCCUGUAGUCC